GUGCCAUCAGUAAAUCUAAUAAUUAAUCCCAUUUAAAAUGAAAAUAUAGUAAAGCCACUCUUGGAGGAGGAGUAAUCCUAUACUAACCUUUAUUAAUAGUCCUAACUGUCACAGGCGGCUUUAUUGCCGUGCUGUUAAUGACUUUCGAGAACGACUACGGUGCGAAUGCCUACGUGCGGAACUACGCGCCUAAUUUUCCAGCUGGCCAUCAGUAUUUAGACACCUGUCAAUUUCAACCUCAACUUCCCCUCUCAUGUGGGACCCACUACAAAAUCGGUGAGUGACUUGUUCGAAGGUAGAGGCCACUGAUUGGUAGAUUCCAAGUGGAUCGAAGGUAGAGCCCACUGAUUGGUGGAUUCCAAGUGGAUGGCAAGGCAAGGGUACUGGUCGAAAAAGAAAUGAACCCUUAUGUGUGUCCCCGUAAGUCAGUCAAAAUCUGUCUUACGUGCACUGUAACUUUUUUUUUCUUUCCCUUCAGAAAUUAUAGGAGCUGUCGGUGCACUAAUUUUUAAUACAACAUAUAUUCUCACGAGUUUUCAAUUAUUU
rnacentral:misc_RNA from 1 species